GAUUCUCGGAUGCUAAUGUGGUUAGAUGUAGCCUGCGCCCUGGCGAUGCUCACGUUGGGCGGGAGCCCCAGAAAUCCUCGCAGGGCUCCCUGACAGUUGGGGACCUGAUCCUCUUUCUGAGACCUUGAAACUUCGGCAGGUCGUUAGCAUGGGGACACAGGAUAAGGAGGAAAAGGGUUUGUACUCUCAGGAUGUCUGACUCGGACGGGGGUGAGUGGGCUGUUUUGUGCGGGGUGGGUGGGUCGGUGGGUGGCGACGGAGGGGGGAAGGCUGUGUGUUGCUUUGACAUCUAGCUCGGGCGAGGAAACGAGGAUGGGUGAGGCAUCCAUCUGCCACGGCUCUCCCACUGGACUUAAUGCAACAGGAUGGCAUUGACCUUGGUUAGCUGGGCAGUGUCGAUUUCCUCCCUGGCAACGACGCCCAAGACUCGGUUGUUGCUGCCUCUGCUUGCUAUCUGUCUCUUGUUAUGACCAGGUAAUGUCUAGCAGCCGAAGGUGGGAGGGGGAUUGCCGGAGAUCUCAUUUUGCUUUUGUGCAUAGAGCAUAGAGCACCUAAAUCAAGGAUGCUAUUUGCAGAGGGGAUAGGAAAGCCUGCUGGAUGCAGAAGGAUUUUUAGUGGGUGUUGAGCAACCCAGGUCCCUAACAUAUUUACUCGACAAGAAGUCCUGGUGCUGGUGGCAGUGGGAUUCCCUUUGCAACCGGAGAGAGAGGGAGUCAUAUCCCACGAGGCUUCAGAUGCAACCGAGGACUGGCUUGUUUUUAAAAAUGUACAUGCUGCUGCGUUAACCUGUUCAGUAUAUGUAUGCAUACUGUACUAGCAUGUUAACAAGCCAGUCUAGCCACACUGACGCUAGCAAGUUCCCCAGCGACACACAAUCUCCUUCCGCUGCCCACAAAAGGCAAGUAUUAUUAGGGCAUAGCUAGUGGUUGGUGAACGUACUAGACGAGAUCUCUCAUCAAGGAAAUAUAGUUCAUUAGUGUUCUGUAUUAUGCAUUCCAAAAGGAAAGUGUUGCCUUCUCUGCAAGGUAAGAUUUCGGUUGUUCGUGUUUGUUGGCUCAGAGGCAACCUGCUGUUGCUCCAAAGUGGCAAAGAAAUUUUUUUGCAAAAGCCAGGCAAUACCUUACACGAGUACCAUAAAGGCCAAAUCUGCAAGAUGGCUGUCCACACAAGGGAUGAGGGGGGAAUUUGAUUCUGUUCACAUUUAAAAGGGAAUCUAUCAAAUUUCUACUUUCUGAAACAAGAUGAGAACUGAAACACCACCAUCCUUUGAAGUUUCCACAUAUCCAAAUUUUGCAAUGCGGUUUUCCAACCAACCAGGCUUUUCAUUAUUAAAAAAUUGCAUAUUGUAGGGGAAAUGUGCAUAAGGAAUAAUAUGUUGGUAAAAAUGACAUACAAAAAUGCAUUCUAUUAGGAAAAAUGCUUGCAAAAAUUGUGUGUGUUAGUCAAAACUGUGUACAAAAAUGUGCAUAUUCGGAGAAAUUUGCACCAAAAUGCUGAUAAAUUUUUGUGAGGAUUUACAAAGAAAUCACAGUUUGCUGCACAAAUCUGGAGAAAUGAAUUUAUGAAUGGAAAAAUUAGAAACUGGGAGAACCAGAAUUGACAGAUUUUUUUCCAUCCCCAGUCCACACCCCAAACAGCGCAGUGGCAACACCCACAUUCUAGCACCCUAUUGAUGUUGGAUCUUAACUAUUCUACAUAGAAGAUAUGUGUCAUCUUAGAGCCAUUCCAAAAUAAGUGCAAUUGCAAUAAAUGCACAGUUGCCACUUAUUUGCCGUUGGAGAUCUAGGCAUCUUUCCUUCCAGUAGUAUUUGGGUUGCAAAGGUAUUGCAUUACCUCAAUACUGCUCAAGCCACAACUGUCAAUGGGAAAACACACCUUUUUCCCCCAGUGAGGGUAGUGCCUGCAAUUGAUGAUUGGCAUAAGAAACAAACAAAGCUGUGUGAGUGUCAUUAGGUGUGGCCAUGCCAUAACAACUUUGCAGUGCACUGCUGUGCAUCUUUACUCAGAAGUAAGCCUCACUGUGUUCAAUAGGGCUUUCUCACGGGAAAGGGUCCAUAAGAUUGCAGACUUGUGCGAAGUUGUGCACUCCUUGGCUUCAGCACUGGAACACACCACAUUGAGACAGGGCAACCCCACCCUGUUUGGUUAUGUGAGAAAAGCCUGUAGCACUAAUGAUGUUGGGAUGGGGGCAUUGCUAUUUAUAACAAUGAUAAUGAUCCACAUGACAUUUUCCUCUAAUUCAAAGCACUUUGUACCCAUUACCAUAGAAAUCCUUACGGCAUCCCUAGCACGCCUAUAUUUACAGAAUAUAUAUAUAUAUAUAUAUAUAUAUAUAUAUACACAUACAUACAAUAUAUAUAUAUACAAUAUAUACAAUAAUAUAUAUAAUAUAUACUAUAUAUAUAUAUAUAUACACAUAUACACACACAAUAUAUACAAUAUAUAUAUAUACUAUAUAUACAAUAUAGCAGGCCUAUAUUUACAGAUUGUAGAGCAGUGUGCUGAUUCUGGGGGUGAGAAAUAGUUGUUUGCCUAUUCAGUCAUCCUGACCAUUCCUACUCAGAAGUCCCACUGAAUCCAGUUGGACUUACUCCCAGGUAAGUGGGGUUAGGAUUUCAGCCUGUGAUUUCCAGCUAGGGAUUUCUCCGUUCGUGCCGUUUACCAUUGCACUGGCCCAGCCAAGGAGGGAGGUCUGCAUUUCCAUUUUUAUUCUCUGGAAAGGUCCAUAAAGCGAUCCUUUAAAUAAAAAUAAAAAUAAAUCAGGCUAUCAGAUAGCAAUGAACCGGAACAAGGAGUACAAUGGCUGCUUUUGACCUUCACAGUCACGAAUUCUCAUUUCCAAUCCAGUCUUUGAAACUAAAGUAGAUGAUGAAGUAUGAUUAUAGCUCCGAUGAAAUAUUCCCAUCCCUUUUUCAUCUCCUUUCUCGAAGAGAUCUGGGAAAGUCUUUCAAGGAUUGGUUUCUUCAGCUGUUGCUUUUAAAACCUUAUUUUCUCCUGUGUUAACCUGCUCACUAUAUGUGUAGAGCAAUAUAUUGACAAGCCUGUGCCUGGCAACACAUAGGAAGAGUCCUGCUGGAUCAAGUCAGUGCAGGAUCCUGUUCUCACAGUGGGCAACCAGAUGCCUGUAGCAGGAUCUGCAGGUUCCAGCAAGUGGUAUUCAGAAGCAUACUGCUUCCAGCAGUGGAGGUAGAAUACAGUCAUCAGGGUUAGUAGCCAUUGAUAACCUACUCCUCCUGGAAUUUUUCCUAAUCCUCUUUUAAAGCCAUCCAAAUUGGUGGCAAUCAGUGCCUCCCAUAGAAGGGAGUUCCAUAGUUUAGCUAUGUACUGCACAAAGUCCUUUAUUUAGCCUGUCCCAAAUCUCCCAACAUUCAACUUCAUUGGCUAUCCAAUGACUACCCAAAGGUGAAUCUACACAUAGUGGGAGGGACAGACGGAUGCUAUAUAUCAGAAGUCAGAAAUUAAAUUGUUAUAACAAAAGAAAAGGGGAAAAAACACUAUGUAAAAUCACAUAGAAAAGUUUUUUGCUCUACAGCGCCAUCUGGUGUUGCUUGUUUAUAACACAUUCAAAACGUGUUGUUGUUUUUUACUAAUGUAGCUAAGCCCCAGGUUAAGUUGGAAGUUGUUGUAGUUGUUGUUAAUUUCAUUUCUAUACCGCUUUAUAUGUUGUUGAAAAAUUUCUCAAAGCACUUUGCAUACUACAAUAAAGCAUCAAAUAAAACAAUCCAGAAUAAAACAUUACCAUAGAAAGUCAAGUAUACAUUCAAAGCAGCAUAAUUAACAGGAAACUAAAAUACUAUCUUGAAGAUUUCAAAACAAAACGUUACCAAAGGAAGUCAAAUACAAAAUGCACAUUUGAAGCAGCAUAAUUAGCAGGAGAAUAAAAUAUUAACAUUGCUGCUGGUGUUGCUGCCAACCCUGACAAUGGUGGUGGCUGGCAACUAUAGCAUCAACUCAAAUUUGAUGACCUGGGUCUGCACUAAGAGACAGCCAAGGUGGUUUGUAAACUGUGGUUCAGUGACAGAACAUCCGCUUUGCAUGCAAAUCUGUCUUGCGCUAGCAGACAGGUGAGUUUUCAAUUUGCACAACAGAGGAAUCCAACGAAAGAAUUGCACUAGCAGAAACUCAUUUCACAGCAGAUUGUACAAUCUAAAGUAUAUUGCAAAUGAAGUUACCAGCAACGUGCUUGUGCAAUUUCUUGUGCAGCCACAUUCUGCUGGUCCAAACAUUUUGCCAGCAGAACAGGUAUAACAUUAAGUGACACUGGAUACAAUCCACAACACACACACACACACACACACACACACACACACACACGUACUUUAGGUGGGCCCAUAAAAGUCAAAUAAAACAUUCAGACAAAACUGCAUUUUCAAAUCUCCACUUUUCUGUUUGCUACAGUAUUAUUGUGUGUUCUUGUUCUGAUGUAGAAAACAUGCCAGCUAGUAGCUACCUCAUUCCUUCUGAAAGAGACCUGAAUUCAGUUCAGCACUUGCCUGUUUGUACCACAACUAAAACAGCUCAAUGAUUUAACCUUUUUUUGAUGUCUCUACAGCUGUUCAAACUUCAGGAAAGCCUGGAAGUGUGCCUUAUAUGAAUGCAUCAGGUACCAUUUAUCAGUUACAAUACAUAAACUUUUAACUUGCUUUGGUGAUUUCACUAUGUAACUAGUUCUUUCACUUUAAAAAAAAAAUCUAAAUGAAGAAAUUGUUUUAUGACCUGCACACUGGCAAACAUGGUAAUAAUAAUAAUGUUUUAACUUCUAUAUAGCAUUAUUGAGUGUUCAAAGUACAAGGCAUACGUUGUUGUUGUUUAGUUGGUUGGUUUGCUGAAUUUAUAUACCGUCCUAUACCCAGGGGUCUCAGGCCGGUUCACAGAAUAAAAUCAAGAUAUAAAACCACAAAAUACCAAAUAAAAAUAAAAACAACAACCCAAUAGCCCAAUAGAAGUUGUUGAGACAAUUUCCGUGCAAGACAGGUCAUUGUCAUCAUUCUUGCAUUGCAGAUAUUUGGGACCGUAAGCAGGCUAAGGAUAAGAGGCAGGGACCUUAGCCCAGUGACACAGUAGAUGCAGAAGGUUGUCACAGCAAUCCUUUAUGCCUCAGUUAAAAGGAUCAGAUGGCAAAUAAUUGAGACCCUGUUGGAGCCCCUAGAGAACAGCUGCCAGUCAGAGCAAACAGUAUUGGGUUAGAUGAACAAAAUGUCUGACCUUGUAUAAGGAUAGUGGGAUACUGGGAUAGUAAAAAUAAAAAAGGUAAAGGACCUUUGGACGGUUAAGUCCAGUCAAAGGCAACUAUGGGGUUGCGGUGCUCAUCUUGCUUUCAGGCUGAAGGAGCUGGCAUUUGUCCACAGACAGCUUUCCGGGUCAUGUGGCCAGCAUGACUAGACUGCUUCUGGUGCAACAGAACACUGUGACAGAAACCAGAGCGCAUGGAGAUGCCGUUUACCUUCCCGCCACAACGGUACCUAUUUAUCUACUUGCACUGGUGUGCUUUCAAACUGCUAGGUUGGCAGGAGCCGGGACAGAGCAACAGGCACUCACCCUGUCGCGGGGAUUCAAACCGCCAACCUUCUGAUUGACAUUCCCAAGAGGCUCAGUGGUUUAGACCACAGUGCCACCCGCGUCCCUUACAGCUUGCUUACGGCUGGUGUUAUACUUAAAGUAGGAACUUCCCAAAUCACACUUUUAGCCAUUAAACUAAAGCAGCUCACUCACUACUAUAGCAGACUUUCUCCAAUUUUGCAGGGACAGUCUUGGAUUCAGGCAGCAGCCUAAUGCUAUCUCUACAACCAAAAUAUGCCUCCUGUUUUUGUUCGCAGGCGAAGAAGUGAAAAUCUCGAAAGCCCAGCAGGAUGUGAAGCCCAGAGAUGAGCAGUAACUACUGCAACAACGCGUCAUUGAGCAUGAGUGUCAACGAGGUGUCCACCUUUCCCCUCACUCUGGAACAAAAAACCGGCUUUGCCUUCGUGGGGAUCCUGUGUGUCUUUUUGGGACUUCUGAUUAUCAGAUGCUUCAAAAUCUUAUUAGACCCUUAUAGCAGUAUGCCAUCCUCCACGUGGGAGGAUGAGGUGGAAGGGCUGGAUAAGGGGACGUUUGAAUAUGCGCUUGCAUGAAAUACUCCAAAAACAAAUUACCCUGCCU
rnacentral:lncRNA from 1 species